GCAGAAGGCAAAAGGCUGACAAUCAUGUACACAAAGCAGAGGUCAACAAAGAGGUUGAGUUCAAGCUGACUGAGGAACUUCUUUCUGAUCAAGCAAAUAGACAUGGCCUUCUAUCCAAGGGCCCCAACCAUUGUGGAAGGGUUGGAAAAAUUUUGGCCAAACAGGGCUGAAUAAGAUUGAUAGGUGACCUCUGGUGAGCUUUUAACAGUGAAGCUGCAAAUUAAAUUUUUCUCUUGGACCUGAAUGCUCUGCAGUAAUGAAAUCUAUGCCUUUCAACCUCUGGUGAUGACAGAGCCUGCAUAUAGUCUGUGAAACCCAGAGGAAGCUCAUUUGACUCAGGGCUGGUUUGCUUUCCAGGUUGCAGGUACUUAAGCACUGAAUGAUUGAAAUACUGAAUACCCAACACCAUUACUGAAUGCUGAUGCCUAGACUACAUGACGACGGUGUGCAGCUACAUAUAAAUAGAUUGCUUGUUUGCAGUGUUGGUGUAGCUGUGUUGGUCCCAGGAUAUUAGAAAGACAAGGUGGGUGAGGAAAUAUCUUUUAUUGGACCAACUUCUGUUGGUGAAAGAGUCAAGCUUUGGAGAUUCACAGAGUUCUUCUUCAUGGCCAGUGAAGGGCACUCAGGCCUGCUCUACACUACAGUGUUAUGUUGACACAAGGAAGCUCAUGUUGACUUAGUCGUGCAUAUGUCUACAUUUAAAUGUGUCUCCCACCUAUGUAAGCACCCUGUUAUGCCAACAUUGUAACACCACCUUUUCAAACUGCAGAAAGUCAUGGUUGAUGUACUUAGGUUGGAGCAGUGCGAGUGUAGACACUGCAUUACUUAUGUCAACCCUAACUGUCCCCCAGCAGCUGUCCCACAAUGCCCUGCACUGACCACUGUGAUCACCAUUGGGAAUUCCACUGACAUGGGUCAGAGAGAUCGGAGGUCUCCCACACUUACAGCCCUAUGAAUUUUUUAAAUUCCUUUUCCUGUAUGCCCGACUUAGCUAGCACACCUAGCAUCUCUCCAUUGUUGAGUGCAACUGGCCAGCUGACCAUGUCAGCCCCACACACCUGCCUGGAAUAGACAGAAGAUAUUGGAGCUCCUGGGCCUGUGGAGCAAAGAGGCUGUGCAGACACAGCUCCAAACUCGCCAUCAACAUCUACAAGCAGUUUGCACAGGGGAUGCAGGAGAGGUGGUACAAGAGGGACCAACAACAGUUCUGCGUGAAAGCCAAGUACCUGUGGCAGGCAUACCAGAAGGCCAGGGAGGCCAGCAAUCA